UCUUCCGUAGCAUAGAGGUCAGUAUAUGAGCUUGUCAUCUUUGUUCAAAAGGAUAUUUUCGCUCGGGACCUGGGUUCAAUUCCGUGCGGGAGAG